rnacentral:rRNA from 1 species
AGGGAAUCUUCCGCAAUGGGCGAAAGCCUGACGGAGCAACGCCGCGUGAGUGAUGAAGGUCUUCGGAUCGUAAAACUCUGUUAUUAGGGAAGAACAAAUGUGUAAGUAACUGUGCACGUCUUGACGGUACCUAAUCAGAAAGCCACGGCUAACUACGUGCCAGCAGCCGCGGUAAUACGUAGGUGGCAAGCGUUAUCCGGAAUUAUUGGGCGUAAAGCGCGCGUAAGCGGUUUCUUAAGUCUGAUGUGAAAGCCCACGGCUCAACCGUGGAGGGUCAUUGGAAACUGGGAAACUUGAGUGCAGAAGAGGAAAGUGGAAUUCCAUGUGUAGCGGUGAAAUGCGCAGAGAUAUGGAGGAGCACCAGUGGCGAAGGCGACUUUCUGGUCUGUAACUGACGCUGAUGUGCGAAAGCGUGGGGAUCAAACAGGAUUAGAUACCCUGGUAGUCCACGCCGUAAACGAUGAGUGCUAAGUGUUAGGGGGUUUCCGCCCCUUAGCGCUGCAGCUAACGCAUUAAGCACUCCGCCUGGGGAGUACGACCGCAAGGUUG